CACAUGCAAGUCGAACGGACUGAGUCCCUUCGGGGAUGAAAGUUAGUAGGCGGACGGGUGAGUAACGCGUGAGCAACCUGCCUUUCAGAGGGGAAUAACGUUUGGAAACAGACGCUAAUACCGCAUAACGCAUAGGUGUCGCAUGGCAUUUAUGCCAAAGGAGCAAUCCGCUGAAAGAUGGGCUCGCGUCCGAUUAGAUAGUUGUGGGGUAACGGCCUACCAAGUCGACGAUCGGUAGCCGGACUGAGAGGUUGAACGGCCACAUUGGGACUGAGACACGGCCCAGACUCCUACGGGAGGCAGCAGUGGGGGAUAUUGCACAAUGGGCGGAAGCCUGAAUGCAGCAACGCCGCGUGAGGGAAGACGGUUUUCGGAUUGUAAACCUCUGUCUUUGGUGACGAAGAAAUGACGGUAGCCGAGGAGGAAGCCACGGCUAACUACGUGCCAGCAGCCGC
rnacentral:rRNA from 1 species